rnacentral:lncRNA from 1 species
CCUUCCACCGCAGGGCUGCCCCAUGGCAGCCAGUGACACCGCUGAGACAACUUUGCCGUGGCCUUACUUUCAUUUCCUUGGUUGUUCAGUUUAUGGCAAAAGACCCUCAGCUGUGUUUUGUUUACUAAUUCCCCUAAGCCUGCCUUAAAUCCAGACUGCCAGGGCCACAGGAAAUCUUUCAGACCCCUGACAGCCCCUCUUACAGAACAGUUUCCCAAGCAGCAGCCUGCCUGAUCCACCCUUAAUUCAGCUGUGCGUCUGACAACAUGUUCUACAGGAAAGAUAACCUUGUACAUCAGGUGUUUCCUGUUUCCAGUACCAAAAGUCAGACAAGAAGGCUCACUUUCUCCAGGAAUCUCCUAGUGCCAGGUUCUGGGCUGUGGACACCAUGCUGGCCAGAGGAAGCUGCUGCACAGUGUCUUCCUUUGGCUUUGGUAUCAAGGUAAUGCUGGCCUCAUAAGGCAGAAUCAUAAUUCUCUACCAGCUGCUUAUUUUAGAGUCAUCUGGGUCUGGGGAUGGUUCUGGACAAAAAUACAAAUUUGGAGACCCAUCACUGGUUUGUAGGAUCAGUGAGAUCAUGAAAACUAGAAGUAAUUUCAACGCGACUUUUUUUAUUUACUUUGGAAAUGGUUCAGUUGGACACAUGAGUGAUAAGAGGUGGACAUUUCAAGUUCAAUUGUGUUUGAUGACUCAUUAGGUUAAAGAAGCUGUCAGGUGGUAAAGUCACCCCAGGUUGUUAAUAAAUAUACCAGAGAAUAAUGGUCCUGCUAUUGAUGGAUCCCAAGGGAGAAUUCCUAUUAAUCACUUCAAUCUUAGGGUGAGCCAUUUAUUCUUACUCUUUGUAUUUUCCCCAUUAAUGAAUGAUUCCCCUUUCCAUGUGCAGUUUUAAGUAUUCACACUGUAGUAGUUUAUUUUUAUUAUCUUCUUAGCAUUUCUCAUGAAACAGAGAUCCCAUAAUUGAUGUGUAUCUUGGACUCUGAAACUCUGCCUGUGUAUAAUGAAGGGAUUGGCCUGGAUGACCUCCUUCCUCUAUCAUUCUAGAAUCUCUCUUUGUCCCAACUUGAAACCAAACAGGUGCCAGGGUCUGUCGCAGAGAAGAAUAAUUAGCACAUCCAUUAACAUGGGCCCUGUUAACACAUCCAGUGUUGACUCUAAUUACUGGUAGAUUUUAACUGAGCUCUGCUGUCUAUAAGUGACUGUUAGCAAAUGAUAGUAUAUUUGAUUUGACAUACAUCAUACGUACUGAAUAGUAAGCUUCAGUCAACUUUUACACAAGUACUCGUAAAGAAGCUGAAGAUUUUAAGCUAACAGAUUAAAAGUGGGAACAAAUGAUAUAAGUGCAAGAGCAUGAAAUUAAAGCAAUUAUUGUUGUUUUUGAUGCUUCAAAAUGUGGGAUUUAUAUGUAGUCCUUUACUUUUUAUAGUGUUUAUGAAAGUGGUUCAAUGUGUCUUCUUUUAAGAGAUCAUAUAUCCUAGUAUUAGUAACAUGAAUCUAUAGGCUUGUCAAAUAUAUAUGUUAAUAAAAAAAUUUAAAACCACUUUUUCUGCAUCAAUUCCAGAAAGUAUAUGUACAUUUCUGCCAUCACACGAAAUCCGAUUGUUGCCAGAUGGCACAAUCGGGUUCCGUGUGAUGGCAAUGCCAUGCGUCUCCCCUGCAGAGAGGCUGCUGCUUGCUGAGCCCUGGUGUGAUAAGGGGCAUAAAUCACAAAUCGUGUCACCCUGGCCAAGAAACAAGACAUCUCUCAGUACUACCUCCCAUAAGCAGAUGCCACAGAGACUGCCAGAUUCAAAGUCACUCUUGCCCUCUAUCUGAAACAGCAACCCUUUGAAGAGAGCCCCUGGUCCCAUGUGUGUUUGCAGCUCCCUAUUUAUAAUCUGCAGGUUAUUCUAGCAACUAACAAUAUCAUUUUGGUAGUUACUAAGAGUAAUAAAGCACCCUCUCUGUCGUGAUCUGCCUAUUUUAUGACACUGGCUGGCUGGUGUCUCAUAGUUUAAUUACUUUAAGUCAAUCAUGUACAUUGUUAUGUUGAUACUACUAUUACUACCAAUAAGAAGCCUCAAGUAUUGAGGCCUAUGGGCUAAGGCACCAUACGUUAUUUCAAUAUUCCUAACAACCUUACAAGCAAAGUAUUGUUAUUACCAUUACAUGAACUUGAGUGCAAUGAGGCACAAGAAUGUUAAAGUUUGAAUGUUAGCCCUUGGUGGGGCAGGGCCUGGAACUCCAGCCAGUUUGAUUCCAGCUCCAGGUAUUUGACUCUGUACCAAACUACUUGGGGCUUUUAGAAAAAAAUCCUUGUAAGAAAAGGUGAAUUACAACACAUAAUAGUAUUUACAUUCUUCCUUUCUUAAAGUAUCAUUAGAAAAACUUGAUCAUUUUUCAUAAAAGACUUUAAAAAAUAGAUUGCCAACUCUCUUGCAUUGUUAAACAGAGACUCUUCAGGGCCAUCCCAGAAAGAGCAUCACAUUUUCUGGAGAAACCUGGGCUUUGGAACCAGCCAAAUCAGGGCUUUAAAGCUGAGCUUAUUGACUUACCAGUUGUGUGACCCUGAGCAAAGAUUUAACCUCUUGGAACCUCAAUUCACUCAUCUGUGGAAAAUGAAAACAAACAAUACUGACAACUUUGUGGCACUAUUCUGAUGAAGAAGUGAGAUGAUGUGUGUCAAGUACCAAGACGAAAAUAGCAAUUAUGCUCCAUUAUUGUGAGUCUGAGAUACAGUGAUUAUUUCCUUUUGCCUUAUGGAUUCUUUUGCUUUGAGAAAGCAAGAGAAAGAAAGAAUGGAUUUAAGUGUUCUAGUGUGAGAACCGGUCAGAAUGAAAUAGAUGGUUGCUGUUUGUUGUGAGCAGUCUGCAAAGUGAGAGCAGCACCCAGAAAGCAGGCGGGACGGACCGUGGCAUCCAACGCCCCUUCAGCCUCAGAAUAGUUUGCUCUGCAUAAAGCCAGCCGAGAGAUGUCUAUCCUAGGCAUUCGGGGCCUUGGGAUCCCCCAGCUAGUCUAUCUGAACACUGCUGGUCCCAGGAACCCCUCACAGUGGCAGGUCUGAGCUGGAGAGAAGGGCCAGGGACUUAGGGGAUGUGAUCAGAGGUCCUGCAGCAAGUCAAGUUCAGGGUAGUGAUGCACUUCUGGGUCCACUGGGUCACCUGUGCCUACUCCUGCUGUUCAAAUAGGGGAUGGUGACUUUUCAAGUUUCAUAGUUCAGAAAGUAUAUCAGAAGGGAGGCUUAGGGGCCAGUCUUAGUGUUUCUGUGAUCUAGCUGUGCGACCUGGGUUAAGUAGCUGUGCCUCACUUUUCUAUUCUAUAAAAUGGGCAUAGCAAGACCCAUGCACUGUUCUGUGGAGAGAAUAAAUGUGAGAAUGAUCAUAAAUGCACUCCAAAAGUUUAACACUGCUGAAACACUGCUCACCUUUUUGUCAUCCAUACUCCACCUGAUCCAUUAAAUAUGUUGUAAUGUAGUUCAUUGUUAUUAUGAUAUCAUCAACUAUUUUACAGGAUAGAGAAUAGGGACAAAAGAAAUUAAGUGAUUUGCUCAGGGUUGCAUGGCAAGUCGAUGCAGGGAGGGUUUCUGGCCUUGGAGGCUGUGCCUGCUCUUGCCAGAGCAUGGAGACCCUCCUGAAGCCGGCCUUGCACACUUAGUCAGCUGGCAUGCUCCAUGUGCAUCUUCCUGGAGCAUGUGGUCUCUUGGUGCUGCUCAUGGAAGCAGUUGCCUUGCACAGAUGUCUGAGAACUCUCGCUGUGGGUCUCACUCUGGAUCCUUGUGCAGUAACCCUCCCCUAAUCUUUCCCAUAAAUAAUGAUGAGCCAGACCCUGACUUUCUCUUUGACUGGCCCAUCUCCCCAGUUACUCCCUCUUCCCUAUAGUGCACAAACUAUGAAAAAUUACAGUUCAUUCACACUUUAGGCCCUGGGUAGCUGAAUCCAGUGCCUUCAACACUUAGCCCUCUUUGUUCCUCCACCGCAACCCAACCUGCCUGCACCCUCUUUGUGUGUAUAUGUGUGUUUGUGUGUUUCUAUUUAACUAAUAAACUUUAUGCUUUAGAGCUGUUUUACGUUCAUGGCAAAACUGAGUGGAAAGUACAGAGAGUUGCACAUAUCCCCUGUUCCACACACCACCUUCUUUUUUGAAGCUAUGAUAACAAUGCAACUUUCCUAACGGGCGCUUUGUACAUGGAAGGCUCCUUCCCAAUUGAACUGCCAUAGCACAAUGCAGUAAAGACUCUGUAACAAUAGCUGAUGUACUGCACAUUACAAUUCUAAUCAUAUAUUUUAUUGGAAGCUGUAUACCUCUUAGAGCCAGCAUUUCAUUUGCCUCCUUUGCCUUAUAGAAACACUGCUGCUGUGACAACGGGCAGCAGUAAAGCUAAUGGUCUUUUCCAAAUUCCUUCUUAGAUUCAAAGGGAGAAAAAGUGUGAAGGAGAGGGAAAGAAAAAAAUCACACAGUCAUUUCCAGCUAUUUGUGUUAAAAUACAAAGAAAACAGGGCACAUUCAAAAAUGGUAUGCCGGGAAGCCUCCAUUAAUAUUUAUUUUGGCAUUAAUAUUGAUAAGAAAGUACUUUGUAGCUGGGCUUUGUUGCCUACCCCAGUAUCCUCAAGCUCCCUGUUAUUCAAGCUGGUGGCCAUUAGCUUGCGUCUUCCUCUGUACCCAGAGCCUCUGAGAGACUUGGCGGGCCUCCAGCUCACUUACGCUUAAAUGGACACUCAAGCUCCGACGGACACACAGCUAAAUAGAGGCCAAUAAUUCAAUACAGUAUGACUGUACUGGGGCUGCUAGUAAAUCCAUCAAGCAGUAAAUAUCAUCUGAAGCCAAUGCAAGCUUUUAUCUUUCCAAUUUUUUUGUAUGUCUGAGCGAAGCCCAGGCAUUCAGCGAAUCAUGUAAUUUAUUCUGCAGUGCCGAGCCUGGGCUGUCUCAGACAUCAUAUUGACUUUUUUUUUCUCCCAUCUGUCAGGGGCAGUCAGCAGCUCUGCUAUUGUGAGAGCGCAUCACAUUACAUCUAUUUAUUUAUUUAUUUCCGCUGCUUCUUUGUAGCAUGAUUGGGCAAGAACGCAUUAUCUCAGAUCAGCGAAUACUAAGAAAAGCAUCUGAACAUCAUUACGACAGCAUGUUAAACAUUUGUCCUACCCAGUUUGUUAAAUCAGCAAAUGUAUUUCCAGCAAAUGCUUGUAAUUGUUCAUAAAGGGCUCCCUACUGCAGGGUUUUACUAAGCUGAAAAUAUGGCCUGUUAUUUUCUUCAGCUCUUUAGGUCAGCGGUGAUUCCAAUAUAUUGUAAAUAAUGCUGAACAGCUGGUGUACUGACUUGGUGUGUGUGUGUGUGUGUGUGUGUGUGUGUGUGUGCGCCUCUGUCUGCAUAUGCAUGUGUCUGCACACAACCACACACCUGGCUAUAGCUCUGCAUGUUGCACACAUAUUUUGUGCACAUGUAAAUGAUUGUAUAGGUCAAUGCGGUAUAAAGUACUGUAUAUGGCCAGGCAGGCCCAACACUUUGGGAGGCUGGGGUGGGAGGAUUGCUUGAAGCCAGCAGUUCAAGACCAGUCUGGGCAAGAAAGUGAGACCCCUGUCUCUACAAAAAAUAAUGUAAAAAACGUAAUUAGCCGAGUGUGGUGGUGUGUGCCUGUAGUUGUAGCUAUUCAGGAGACUGAGGUGGGAGGAUCCCUUGAGACCAAGAGUUUGAAGCUGCAGUAAACUAUGAUCGUAUCACUGCAUUUCAGCUUGGGUGACAGAGCGAGACCCCAUCUAAAAAAAAAAAAAAAACAGUGCUGAAUAUUAACUUCACAAAGUUAAUGAUUAGGUUAUGGUUUACAAUGGUUAGAGAAUGUCCUGCUUCCUAAUCAAUCAAAAUUUAGCCUGAGAACAAAGCUCUUUUGGUUACAGUUGCUGUCUUCUUGAAAACUUAAAAAGUGUAGCUCCUAAAUUUAAAUGUUAUUUAUGAUUCUCUUGCUCUUCUUCCUGUAUAAACUUCAAAUCGAAGAGACAAAUAGGAGGAAGCCCCUCUUUUCACAGUGGGGUUUGAGACUGCUACUGCUGGACAGAGCCAUCAGACAUCUACUGAUUGGAUGAUGACACCCCAAGUAAGAUGCUUCCCCCUAGGAUACCCCCCAAAGCAACUAACUCUUUCUCAAAAGCCAGGUGUGCUUCUGAGACUCAUCCUGAUUGACUUGAUUCCAUUUGAAUUUGAUUCAUGUCCUACUCUAGAUGCAUGCAUCAAAGAAAAGUGUUUUAGAAGUUUCUUGAUUUUCUUUAAUAGGCAUCAUAAAUGUACUUCACAGAAACACCAAUGCAGGAUAUGCAAAUGGAGCCGGACUUAGAGUCAGCCAUGUUGUUUGCCCAACUUCUCUUUACAAACAAUGUUUAAAACCAAAAAAUCCCACACCUUUUUAUAAAUGACUGUAAGUAAGGCCGUUGAUAUUUUGAGAAGCAGUGAAAUCGACAUUGUUUUAAGAACUUGGCUCUUCUGUAUACGUAUGAUCAAUUUUUAAAAAUGGCAUCCUAUUCCUUUGGAUAACUGCAUUCAUUGAAAAAAUACUUGUGGUUUGUACUUGAUAAAGAAUAUCUUUCUAUGGACUGAUUGUGAAAAAUGACUUUGUAUUUUAUACUCCAUUAUUAGUGUCACCACCUUAGAAAAUAUCAAAUUGGCUUUCCCAUCUACAUCUGACCAGGAGAAUCUGGGUAAACAUGAGUUUUAUUCUAAGAUUGGAUAGAAUUAUGGCUCACAUCCUUGGGUGCAUAGUUGGGCACACUCUCCCUCUCCACACAGCAGAGAGCAUCAAUGCAUAUGUUUAAUUUCCCUUUAUUAACCUCCAGUUAGAAAGUCCUGCACAGUACAUGCGGCUUUUAGUAUUCCAAAGAGCAGACACACUGUCUUUCUAAAAAAGCAUAUUAAAAGGCAACUCACUGAGUCAUUUUCUAACACCUGAGAGCAAUUAAUGUAAGCAGAGACAGGAAACAUCAUCAAUUAUUUAAAAUAAAAUGAAUAUGUAAUGCUGACCUUCUCCAACUGCCAUCAGUUUUAUACUUACACCUGAAUCAACUCAGGGGAACAUGAAACCCACAAGGCACUUCACACUGCAAUCUGCAGAGAGGCAGGCGCUGGUCACAGGGAAAGCUGCCUGGCUGGCUAUGUUCACCCCUGAGAGGGAGGUGGAGAAGCCCCCGAUACCUGAUGAGGGAAAACGGAUCCUCCAGCUCCCUGAGUGCAUCACCACCUGGGACCAGCAACUUUAUGUACAAACACUCCUGGCCCACCAGUCUUUCCCAAAUAUUUUCACUUGUUUCCAAAUUAUUUUAUAUUCCUACCAUCUUAAGGAGGAGGGC